AAUGAACGUUGGCGGCAUGGAUUAGGCAUGCAAGUCGGGGGAAUCCCAGCAAUGGGGGAACCGGCGUAAGGGGCAGUAAGGCAUGGGUACCUACCUUGGGGUUCGGGAUAGCCAUCAGAGAUGGUGGGUAAUACCGGAUGACGUCGUGAGACCAAAGAUUUAUCGCCCUUAGAGGGGCCCAUGUGAUAUUAGCUAGUUGGUGGGGUAACGGCCCACCAAGGCGAAGAUGUCUAGCGGGUGUGAGAGCACGACCCGCGCCACUCGCACUGAGACACUUGCGAGACACCUACGGGUGGCUGCAGUCGAGGAUCUUCGGCAAUGAGCGCAAGCUUGACCGAGCGGUGCCGCGUGAGCGAUGAAGGCCUUCGGGUUGUAAAGCUCUUUAGUGGGGGAGAAAAGCCGCAAGGUGUGAUCUAUCCCAAAAAUAAGCACGGGCUAAGUUCGUGCCAGCCGCCGCAGUAA
rnacentral:rRNA from 1 species